CCUACGGGUGGCAGCAGUGAGGAAUAUUGGUCAAUGGGCGAGAGCCUGAACCAGCCAAGUCGCGUGAGGGAGUACUGCCCUAUGGGUUGUAAACCUCUUUUGUCGGGGAGCAAAAGCCGGACGUGUCCGGCUGUGAGAGUACCCGAAGAAAAAGCAUCGGCUAACUCCGUGCCAGCAGCCGCGGUAAUACGGAGGAUGCGAGCGUUAUCCGGAUUUAUUGGGUUUAAAGGGGGCGCAGGCGGAUUUUUAAGUCAGCGGUAAAAUCGUGGGGCUCAACCCCAUCCAGCCGUUGAAACUGGGGAUCUAGAGUGUGCGAGAGGUAUGCGGAAUGCGUGGUGUAGCGGUGAAAUGCAUAGAUAUCACGCAGAACCCCGAUUGCGAAGGCAGCAUACCGGUGCACAACUGACGCUCAGGCACGAAAGCGUGGGUAUCGAACAGGAUUAGAUACCCCUGUAGUC
rnacentral:rRNA from 1 species